rnacentral:rRNA from 1 species
CCUACGGGAGGCAGCAGUGGGGAAUAUUGGACAAUGGGCGAAAGCCUGAUCCAGCAAUGCCGCGUGAGUGAUGAAGGCCUUCGGGUCGUAAAGCUCUUUUACCAGGGAUGAUAAUGACAGUACCUGGAGAAUAAGCUCCGGCUAACUCCGUGCCAGCAGCCGCGGUAAUACGGAGGGAGCUAGCGUUGUUCGGAAUUACUGGGCGUAAAGAGUACGUAGGCGGUUAUUCAAGUCAGAGGUGAAAGCCCGGGGCUCAACCCCGGAACUGCCUUUGAAACUAGAUAACUAGAGUCUUGGAGAGGUUAGUGGAAUUCCGAGUGUAGAGGUGAAAUUCGUAGAUAUUCGGAAGAACACCAGUGGCGAAGGCGACUAACUGGACAAGUACUGACGCUGAGGUACGAAAGCGUGGGGAGCAAACAGGAUUAGAUACCCUGGUAGUCCACGCCGUAAACGAUAGAUAACUAGUUGUUCGGUCACUUGGUGACUGAGUGACGCAGCUAACGCAUUAAGUUAUCCGCCUGGGGAGUACGGUCGCAAGAUUAAAACUCAAAGGAAUUGACGG